GUGAAAUGUUAUAGCCACUGGAGUUUUCUGCCUGGCUGAUCCUGCAUUAAUUUGCAAUGAGCAUUAGUCUUGUGAUUUAUGGACUGCCAGGUUCCCUGAGUAGAAUAACUUCCUUGAAGAAAGCUUCUCACCCACAGGACGGCUCAGACAGAGAGUUUCACUUGUCUCUGCCAGCAUGGGAUCUUGAAAGAAGAAAAGGGCAGGCAGGACAUGGCAGGUGUCUCCUUUGGACACAUGGGAUCUGUCCAGCCCGAAGGGAAACUACAGAUUGGCCAGCAUCCAAGGACUAGGUCUUUUGCUGUAGCAGGAAUUCCUCACUG
rnacentral:lncRNA from 1 species